rnacentral:rRNA from 1 species
CUGCUGCCUUCCGUAGGAGUCUAGGCCGUGUCUCAGUCCCAAUGUGGCCGUUCAACCUCUCAGUCCGGCUACUGAUCGUCGACUUGGUAGGCCGUUACCCCACCAACUAUCUAAUCAGACGCGAGUCCAUCCUUAGGCGCCUCAGCUUUGGUAUAUCUACGAUGCCGUUAAUAUACUUUAUAUGGUAUUACCGUCCGUUUCCAGACGCUAUCCCUUUCCCAAGGGCAGGUUACUCACGCGUUACUCACCCGUCCGCCA